rnacentral:rRNA from 1 species
AUUGAACGCUGGCGGCAGGCCUAACACAUGCCAGUCGAACGGUAACAGGAAGAAGCUUGCUUCUUUGCUGACGAGUGGCGGACGGGUGAGUAAUGUCUGGGAAACUGCCUGAUGGAGGGGGAUAACUACUGGAAACGGUAGCUAAUACCGCAUAACGUCGCAGACCAAAGGGGGGGGCCUUCGGGGCCCCUGGCAUUGGGUGGGGCCAGAUGGGAUUAGCUAGUAGGUGGGGUAACGGCUCACCUAGGCGACGAUCCCUAGCUGGUCUGAGAGGAUGACCAGCCACACUGGAACUGAGACACGGUCCAGACUCCUACGGGAGGCAGCAGUGGGGAAUAUUGCACAAUGGGCGCAAGCCUGAUGCAGCCAUGCCGCGUGUAUGAAGAAGGCCUUCGGGUUGUAAAGUACUUUCAGCGGGGAGGAAGGGAGUAAAGUUAAUACCUUUACUCAUUGACGUUACCCGCAGAAGAAGCACCGGCUAACUCCGUG